AGCAUGGCUGUCCUGGUGCUGCUCCUCUGCCUGGUGACCUUUCCAAGCUGUGCCCUGUCCCAGAUGCAGCUGAAGGAGUCAGGACCUGGCCUGGUGCAGCCCUCACAGACCCUGUCUCUCACCUGCACUCUCUGGGUUCUCAUUAACUGACUAUGGUGUAAUCUGGGUCCGCCAGCCUCCAGGAAAGGGUCUGGAGUGGAUGGGAGCAAUAUGGAGUGGUGGAGGCACAGAUUAUAAUUCAGCUCUCAAAUCCAGAGUCAGCAUCAGCAGGGACACCUCCAAGAGCCAAGUUUUCUUAAAACUGAACAAUCUGCAAACUGAGGACACAGCCAUGUAUUACUGUGCCAAAGACACAGUGAAGGAACUCCAGUGUGAGCCUGCACAAAAACCUCCCUACAGACACAUUCAGGACCAGCAGGGGGAGCUGAGUACCAGCAGAGACUUCCCAGGACUAGUAUGGAGUCUCUUCAGAAUCUAGGAAGUUCUGGACUAUCCUGCAUGAACACGUGUUUUAAUUUUAGAACCUGUGGGUUUCACCUCCAGCCAAGGAAAUCCUCUA